GCCUCAUGAAUGGGACAAGUGUCCAUAGAAAAGAGCCCCGAGAGAGACCCCUGACCCCUUCCACCACAUGAGGACACAAAGAGAAGUCACCGUCUGUGAACGAGGAAAGGGGUCCUCACCAGACCCUGAAUUUGCCCGAGCUUUGACCCUGGACUUCAGAGGCUCCAGGAUUGUGAGAAAGAGAUUUCUGCUGUUGGCAAGCCACCAGUCUGUGGUAUUUUGUUACAGCAGCCUGACUGGGCCAAAACUGUGGCUGGUGAUGAUGGCAGGUAUGCGUCCUGCAACAGUAGAAGGUGAGAGAGGCAGGUAUACCGAGGUCUUGGAGGAACACAGCCAGCUAUCAACUUCAGUCCUCACUCUGUGGCUGCCAACACAGUCUUUGAGCUGUGACCUGCAUUGUCUCCACUAACGACAGCGUCCUUAACCCGGACAGUGACCCAGCAAGUGGCAGCCCACGCUCGCCGGCCGGGUCCAAGUUUUAAGUAAAGAAGCCAUUUGUUCCCAGGCUCAUUUUUAUCAAGGCUCGUCUGUCUUUCCAAAUUAGGGCUGAGUCAUUUAUAAAGCAUGUGAGUGUUUGGAUGUUAGCAGCAAACAUUCAUCCAUUUUAGAAUAAAUGAUUAAAAGGCACUCAUUAAAUUCCUCUGUUGACUGAUGCCAAGGCCCCGAGAACGGAUUGGCCUGUUGGCUUCUGGCUGGCCUGACUGCCAUCCCACCUACUGAGAACUCUCGUAGACUCUGGAGAGAAAAUUCCUGCUCGAGGGGACACCCUGAUGGAAGAUAACAGGAAGGAUGGCACUCAGGCCUGUUCCCCCAAUAUUACAGCACAGUUAUCUACCUUCAGAGUGGCCGCACCCAACAGACUCUUGGUGAGUGGGAGGACAACCCCUUCUCCCCUCCAAAGAUCUAGGGACAAUGUGUGCCAUUCCUUCCCAUGGGCAUGGGGAAUGUUUAACUCAAAAGUCAAGGGAAUAAUUCCAUAAUGACUGAAAACUAAGUAUUUCCAGUCCUGAUAAGAAUGGCGCUCUGUGCCCACUCCAGGAAUACAAGAAUUGGCAAGACUCUCCUGUGGCCCCUGCCCUGGAAGGUAGAAGGUAAAAGAUCAUACACAGACAGGUAAACCAACUCCCGAACAGAACUGGGAGCCUCGGACCACAGGCUCUGACCCUUUGCUGGCCAGCAGGUGCAGAGGGAAGGAGCUUCUGCUGUCCUUGCCCCCAGCAAAUGUCCAUCCUCACCACAAGGGAACAAACCAUGCCCAAUGCCUCGUUGGGGGCACUGGCGCCCCUUGAAUGUAUCCUCUCUAGGAUCCUUGGCCCCACCCACCUGUUUGCCAUCUCCAAAGGUCCUUUCUUAAUGUCUUUAAUUUGGAUGGCUCUGACAGCUCCCCACGGCUGGCCUGAGAAAAUCGCACACUCCUCUGCAUGCCAUUUAUCAGGUCACAGCGUGAGUUUCCCGGGCCCUCCUUCCACUAAAAAAACAUUAAAACAUAUAUAUUACAAUGGCAUUGGUAAACAGGAACCUAUUGAUUUAUAUACUGAAAACAUUUUUCCUCAACCUAAAAGUUCAUGUAUUUCGUUUUGAUUUUAAAAGCAAUUAAAACAUUUCGUGAGUCCUGAAAUCACUGUGGGCCCGAGGCACUGAGCCACCAUACCCGAUACUGAAGGGGGUCUAGGUCAGUCCUCUCUGCAGCCGUCCAGCCGCAGGUUCCCCCUGGGAGCUGCCCUUCCAGGCCUCCCUGCCUGUGCUGCUGCUGCUGCUGCUGCUGCUGCUCCUGCUCCUGCUCCUGCUCCUGCUCCUGCACCCUCAAUGCUGCCUCAUCCUUCUCUGCCACGAAACGUCCUACAAAGGUGUUAAGCCCUGGACCUAGUGUGAUGCUCCCAGGCCCUGGAGGCAGCAUCUGUGCAUCUUCUUUGCCCUCUGCCACCACUCUGACCCCCUGCAAGCCCAGACAGACAACGGUGUCUUCCUGACCAGGUGACAGGAUCCUGCAUUCAUCCCACAAACGCCUCCUGGGCACUGCCUGUGGGGAUGCAGGAAGGAUCUAAUAAAUGGCCUGGCC
rnacentral:lncRNA from 1 species